UCUUCAUUUCCCACACUCUCUCACCAGGUCAGAGAGGCGAGAGAGCGCGUGAAAUGAAGAGA
rfam:Pristionchus pacificus strain PS312 contig1050, whole genome shotgun sequence.